rnacentral:rRNA from 1 species
UACGGGGGGGGCAAGCGUUGUUCGGAAUUACUGGGCGUAAAGGGCUCGUAGGCGGCCAACUAAGUCGGAUGUGAAAUCCCCAAGCUUAACUUGGGAACUGCAUCCGAUACUGGAUGGCUUGAAUCCGGGAGAGGGAUGCAGAAUUCCAGGUGUAGCGGUGAAAUGCGUAGAUAUCUGGAGGAACACCGGUGGCGAAGGCGGCGACCUGGGCCUGAACUGACGCUGAGGAGCGAAAGCUAGGGGAGCAAACGGG